ACUACCGAUUGAAUGGUUUAGUGAGGCCUCCUGACUGGCGCCGCUACUCUGGCAACAGAGCGGCGGAUGCCGGGAAGUUGGUCAAACUUGAUCAUUUAGAGGAAGUAAAAGUCGUAACAAGGUUUCCGUAGGUGAACCUGCGGAAGGAUCAUUACCGAUCACUGUUGGUUAACAACCACAACUACCGUGUGAAUGGUACUCGACCUUAUUAGGGGUCGGCCGGUAGGCCGUUAAAUGGUCGUUCGUCCACUGGCGUUCGGUCAGCCCCGCCUCUGUGUUUUCGAUCGAACUUUGUCAGUCUGAGAACAUGCAUUUUCCUGCCGGUGGGCAGAAAAUGAACGAAAAUGAAAGAGAGACAACUUGUAACGGUGGAUCUCUUGGCUCACGCAUCGAUGAAGAACGCAGCCAGCUGCGAUAAGUAGUGUGAGUUGCAGAACUCAGUGAAUCGUCGAAUCUCUGAACGCAAAUGGCGCUUUUGGGUUCUCCCAGGAGCAUGUCUGUGUGAGUGUCGGAUACCGUCCAACGCACUUAAGUGUCCGGCGUUGAGGCGUCACGGCCCCCCGACCCGCGGGCCGUGUCCCUCGAAGGGCAGAGCGAUUCGCAUCGCCGUGCGCAGCACUCCCAUGCGAAGGCCAAAACUAACGUUCCUUGGCAUGGCCGCUGUCUGCGCGCCGGCAACCCGAAUCGAAAGAGACGAGUCAGACACACGUCUUGACCUCAGAUCAGGCAAGGCUACCCGCUGAAUUUAAGCAUACUAAUAAGCGGAGGAAAAGAAACUAACAAGGAUUCCCCCAGUAACGGCGAGUGAAGCGGGAACAGCUCAAAUUUGAAAUCUCCGGCGCUUGCGUCGGCGAGUUGUAGUUGCGAGAAGCACUUUCUAGGCGGAUCGGCCGCGCCUAAGUUGCUUGGAACAGCACGUCGCAGAGGGUGACAACCCCGUCUGUGGCGCGGCCGGCCGCUCACGAUGUGCUUUCGAA
rnacentral:rRNA from 1 species